CUCUACCUCCUGGUGCGCGGAAUCGUCCCGAGAGGCCCCGAGUUGAGCGCAAGGUCGCCGAUUCUUCGCGCCGGACUUCAUGUUUCUUCUCCGAUUCCGGCCGCCCUCGUCCUCCUCCGGCCAAACCGAGCACACCUCCAGCUUCCCCAUGUUCAGGCGCACCCUCGACGCCCUCGCUCUCGUCCUCUUUCGCUCGCAGCCGUCGAGUUCUUCUCCAACCAGGGCCGUUCGCCAUGGCCACGAUGCUCGAGCUCCGCCUCCACCUGCUUCUUGUUGUCGGGCGACCAAGAACCAUCACCAUCCGAACCAGCAGCCCAGUGAUAAGCAGAUCCCGUGGAGAGAGAUACUUCUUUUUAUACGGAGUCUUCCUAGUAUCAACAUCAGCAAGCAGCCUAACUGAUCUGCUAGAUCUGGGCCUCAGCCCAGAUUCUCCGACGAGGACCGUUGCCCGUGCGUCCAGGAAGCUCCCGUCGCCAAUGCAGGCCUAGCUCUGGCCCAUGUCAUCGCAGAUCUGCUAGAUCUGGGCCUCAGCCCAGAUUCUCCGACGAGGCCCGUUGCCCGUGCGUCCAGGAAGCUCCCGUCGACAACGCAGGCCUAGCUCUGGCCCAUGUCAUCGCAGCAUUUGCUUCUUCCCGGAUAGGAUCACGAAGUGGUGUUGUGAGAUAC